rnacentral:lncRNA from 1 species
CUCCCCAGUGUUUCAGUUUUUUUCCUUUUUACUUUUUUGAUAUAUGGUCAUGAUACGAGAGUAGCUAAAAAAAUUAGAAUACAAAAAAUCCCACAAAAUCGAUGAACAAAUCUCACCCUAUCUCCAGCCCUAGUCUCUGGAGUACACCACAUAAGAUGCGGCCCAAUUUAUUGCAUUGUUUGCCUCCCAAAUGAUAUGCCAGAUCGACACCACA